UCGCGCGCUCCGUGAUAUUAUUAAAAAAAUAUAAUAAACACAAGAAUUUAAGCUGUUUGUGUAGUGACCAAAUGGAGAAUAGAGUUUUGCAACUGUGGACAGACUGUGUGAAGUGCUCUUUUGGUCCGCUUUCCGCCUUCACAGCUGACUGCGCCUCACUUUCAGGCACUUCUCGUUGCUCCUGCUGACAGCUGGGCUGUAGUUGUUGGUUGCUUGCUUGGAAUGGAGGUCAGCAAAAAGUGUAACUGCAAGGAAGCAAGCCUGACAACAGUUUUGUGGUUUUGCUGUCCUCGUCGUCGUCUCGUUGGUGGUUAUGAAUGAAGCAGACAAGGACUCGCCAGAGUGAUGCAGCUAACUCGCCAGUCUGCCAGUCGGCCAGUCGGCCAGCUUGGGAGGCUCUGCCGGAUGAUGAGACACGCUGCCGAAACACAUGCCCAUUACAGUAUCCACUAAUAACAACACACAACAUACCCCUACAAAAGUAUUUUUUAUUUUGUUUUGUUAAUUUGCAGUGCCAUUCAGGGUUACAGACUAGA